rnacentral:tRNA from 1 species
CCCUGGGUGGUACAAAUAGCUAGCACAUUUGGCUGCUAAUCAAAAGGUUGGAGGUUCGAGUCCACUCAGAGGCA